rnacentral:rRNA from 1 species
UACGGAGGGUGCAAACGUUGCUCGGAAUCAUUGGGCGUAAAGCGCGCGUAGGCGGCUUGGCAAGUUGGAUGUGAAAGCCCUGGGCUCAACCCGGGAUGUGCAUUCAAAACUGCCUCGCUUGAAUCUCGGAGGGGGUCGGAGAAUUCCCGGUGUAGAGGUGAAAUUCGUAGAUAUCGGGAGGAACACCAGUGGCGAAGGCGCCGACCUGGACGAUGAUUGACGCUGAGGCGCGAAAGCGUGGGGAGCAAACAGG